UACAGAGGGGGCAAGCGUUGCUCGGAAUUACUGGGCGUAAAGGGCGCGUAGGCGGGAUGGCAAGUCGGUCGUGAAAUCCUUCGGCUCAACCGGGGAACGGGCGCCGAUACGACCGCCCUGGAGGGACGUAGGGGGACCUGGAACUUCCGGUGGAGCGGUGAAAUGCGUUGAGAUCGGAAGGAACGCCCGUGGCGAAAGCGAGGUCCUGGACGUUUUCUGACGCUGAGACGCGAAAGCCAGGGGAGCGAACGGG
rnacentral:rRNA from 1 species